AGUGAACGCUGGCGGUAGGCCUAACACAUGCAAGUCGAACGGCAGCACAGUAAGAGCUUGCUCUUACGGGUGGCGAGUGGCGGGCGGGUGAGGAAUACAUCGGAAUCUACUUUUUCGUGGGGGAUAACGUAGGGAAACUUACGCUAAUACCGCAUACGACCUACGGGUGAAAGCAGGGGAUCUUCGGACCUUGCGCGAUUGAAUGAGCCGAUGUCGGAUUAGCUAGUUGGCGGGGUAAAGGCCCACCAAGGCGACGAUCCGUAGCUGGUCUGAGAGGAUGAUCAGCCACACUGGAACUGAGACACGGUCCAGACUCCUACGGGAGGCAGCAGUGUGGAAUAUUGGACAAUGGGCGCAAGCCUGAUCCAGCCAUACCGCGUGGGUGAAGAAGGCCUUCGGGUUGUAAAGCCCUUUUGUUGGGAAAGAAAAGCAGCAGGUUAAUACCCCGCUGUUCUGACGGUACCCAAAGAAUAAGCACCGGCUAACUUCGUG
rnacentral:rRNA from 1 species